GGCGGUUCUCCGGUGACACACCCCAGAAUCAGGCUUCUUCCUCUCUGGUUCCGGGUACAUCACCGGAGAACUGCA
rfam:Myotis lucifugus cont2.57908, whole genome shotgun sequence.